UACAGAGACGGCGAGCGUUGUUCGGAUUCAUUGGGCGUAAAGGGUUCGCAGGCGGCGAAGUAAGUCUGAUGUGAAAUCCCGCGGCUUAACCGCGGAACUGCAUCGGAAACUGCUUUGCUCGAGGAUGGUAGAGGAGACUGGAAUUCACGGUGUAGCGGUGAAAUGCGUAGAUAUCGUGAGGAACACCGGUGGCGAAGGCGAGUCUCUGGGCCAUUCCUGACGCUCAGGAACGAAAGCGUGGGGAGCAAAC
rnacentral:rRNA from 1 species